rnacentral:lncRNA from 1 species
CUGGGCCCCCCACGGGGAGGACGGCCGGGCCAGGUGAAGUUCGCGCACUUGGGCCUUCCGCGCCCCCAUCCACCGCAGCCAGGGCCUGGAAGGCUGGGGAGGGGGCGGGGGCGGCAGACGCCUCCUAAGGUGGGUUCUGGGACUUGGAUCCGGAGUUUAUUCCAAGGAGAGGGUGCUCUGGGCCUGUUCCCUAGGUGUGCCCUGUUACCCAAAAUCGGGCUUGUGCAGUGGGGUCCCUGAGUCCACUGGGAGCACAGCCUCAGACCCCAGCAGAGUCACCCUUCAUCGGAAGCCCACCACCCUGAGGGCUCCUCCUCCACCUGGGGCGGCACUGCCAGGCACAGGCACGCACUUUCCCUCAGUCCUCUGCCCCACGAUCACUCUACUCGGGCACCUCUGCCACUGCCUGGUCCUUGCUGAGCCAUCUCCUGGUUCAUCUCCCUGGAGUCCCUGCAGGACCGGCUCUCAGUGGCGUCUCCGGGCUCCCAGUCCCAGGACUGGUCCUAUCCAGCCCAGGAGAUACGCUCCCCAGUCCAGGAUGUCCAGAUGGCCCUGCUGCCUGG